GGACCGGCUAAUCCGUGCCAGCAGCCGCGGUAAUACGGAAGGUCCGGGCGUUAUCCGGAUUUAUUGGGUUUAAAGGGAGCGUAGGCCGUGGAUUAAGUGUGUUGUGAAAUGUGGACGCUCAACGUCUGAGUUGCAGCGCAUACUGGUUCACUUGAGUCCGUGCAGCGUUGGCGGAACUCGUCGUGUAGCGGUGAAAUGCUUAGAUAUGACGAAGAACUCCGAUCGCGAAGGCAGCCAACGGGAUCGUCACUGACGCUUAAGCUCGAGAGUGCGGGUAUCGAACAGGAUUAGAUACCCUGGUAGUCCGCACGGUAAACGAUGGAUGCUCGCUAUCGGCGCUUGGCGUCGGUGGCAACGCGAAAGCUUUAAGCAUCCCACCUGGGGAGUACGCCGGCA
rnacentral:rRNA from 1 species